rnacentral:rRNA from 1 species
UUCCAGACUCCUACGGGAGGCAGCAGUGGGGAAUAUUGGGCAAUGGGCGCAAGCCUGACCCAGCAACGCCGCGUGAAGGAAGAAGGCUUUCGGGUUGUAAACUUCUUUUGACAGGGAAGAGUAGAAGACGGUACCUGUCGAAUAAGCCACAGCUAACUACGUGCCAGCAGCCGCGGUAAUACGUAGGUGGCAAGCGUUGUCCGGAUUUACUGGGUGUAAAGGGCGUGUAGCCGGGCUGACAAGUCAGAUGUGAAAUUCCGGGGCUCAACCCCGGACCUGCAUUUGAAACUGUUGGUCUUGAGUAUCGGAGAGGCAGGCGGAAUUCCUAGUGUAGCGGUGAAAUGCGUAGAUAUUAGGAGGAACACCAGUGGCGAAGGCGGCCUGCUGGACGACAACUGACGGUGAGGCGCGAAAGCGUGGGGAGCAAACAGGAUUAGAUACCCUAGUA